GCAUGUGCUGCGAGUGUGUGGGUUUCCCUCGUGCACGUGGCGAGGAAGCAUCCUCCUAUGCAUGUGGUGGGAGUGAUGAGGUACCAUUACCAUCUCGGUGUGGUGAUAGAGCCUGAAAGACGCACUUAUGAAGCACUUUACAGCCUCCUGUGCAGUCUCAAAGAACAAUUACUAAAGAAAAGACUGUAAACUUAAGACAACUACCAGGGCAAAAUGAAUUGAAGUUGCGUCUGAAAGACAACAUUCCGGUGAAAGACGCUCCACUGCAGCGACCUGUCACCGGAAACACUGGGAGGAAUUCACUUGAGUGCAGCAUUGAAGGUAUUACUACCACUAACGUGGACAAAAACACUGACUACAAUUCUAAAGUCAUAACAACAUGAAUCAUUCAGUAUAACAUUCCAAAGGGAGGGUCAAUGUAAGCUUUCUGUGUUUCAGUUGUUCUGGAGAGAAUCCAUCUACACAACCAUUUUCUAAACAACAGUUAAACCUUCCUGGGAGGCUGUGACCUUUUCCUGCCAAAUCCCAGUCAUGACGACACGUCCUGGAAACUUGUCCACUUACUCAAAGGGUCGCUGAGGAGCAUCCAGCUGUAACCUUCAAGGUAAUAUUAUACUUACAUUUGAAAUCUUUCAAUGUCUUGGAUUCUACACUUCACAAAAAUGCUGAUAUAAUUACUGGGAUGUGUUAAGAGUAAAACAUGUAUUUACAUGUUUUGACUGUAUAACAUUUCAAUUUCCUGAUUAGUUUUACUGAUAACAUCUUCAUUUGUUAGUAUUGUCAAUUACAUUACAACAUGUAAAACUGUGAUUUUACUCAUGUCACUGAAGAUAACUGACACCUAACACCCACACUGAUUGUUAAUAACCUGCCACUAAAAUCACUAAGAAGCUUCCAUUUACUGCAGUAGCUUACUGAAAAUAUCACUGACAUUCAAUUAUUUUAUAAAAGACACUCCAACCACAUUAAAAUAUCAGCGUCUCAAAUUAAUAUUCAUUAUGAGCAAUUUGUGUUUCAUCUGUUUUUCAGCCAGUCCAUCCAUCCAUCCAUUUUCUAAAGAUGCCUUAUACCUACUUGGGAUGCUAUCAGGCACAAAUUGGAUCAUCCUUACAUUCAAUUCUCAAAGAUGUCUUAUACCUUCCUGGAAUGCUGUCAACUAUCCCAGACACAUUUGCCUGAAGCCUAGACAUACUCUGGAUCCUUCACCUUGUGUCCAGCGUCAACUGUUGACCAUAAUUCCAAAUCCCAAAACUUUACAUUUGGGAUGGAAAAUUGCUCUAUCAUCACACUCCAGCUCUCAAUCCAGCAUGUCACAGAAGAUGACUGCAACCUAUCAGCAGUACCAUUAUCGCUGA
rnacentral:lncRNA from 1 species